rnacentral:rRNA from 1 species
CCCUUAGAUGUUCUGGGCCGCACGCGCGCUACACUGUUCGACGCAGCGAGUCUUAACCUUGACCGAAAGGUUUGGGUAAUCUUCAGCAAAGUCGAACGGGAUGGGGAUCGAUCAUUGCAAUUAUUGAUCGUGAACGAGGAAUUCCUAGUAAGUGCAAGUCAUCAGCUUGCGCUGAUUACGUCCCUGCCCUUUGUACACACCGCCCGUCGCUACUACCGAUUGAAUGGUUUAGUGAGAUCUCUGGAUUGACGCUGGCUAGGGGGCGACCCUUGGCCAGGCUGUCGAGAAACUGCUCAAACUUGAUCAUUUAGAGGAAGUAAAAGUCGUAACA